rnacentral:lncRNA from 1 species
GUCCGUUGCAGGGCAACAGCCCUCGUUGGCUAUCACAUGACCCAAGUUCCUGUUGGCCACCAGGUCACCACCCAAGAGGCUACCCUGAAAGGAAAGACAAUGGAAUUCCUGAGAGGAAAAUCACCACCGUGCAUGAUGUCACAGGUGAGGCUGGACCAUACUUGGAGACACCAUCUCGCCCAGCCUCAGUCCUGCAACACCUUGGAUUCUCCAGUUGGUUCUUUCUUGAGGACAUACGUCAGACGGAAUCUCUCUUUCCCCAAAUUUCUCGAGUGGGAACCUUCUUUUUUGUCAAGUACUUUAGGGGUAUUAAGGUAUUUAAAUAGUUUACAUGUAUAUGUGGAAGAUUACUGAAGUGUUAUUGAAUGCCUCACUCAAGAGUAAAGAUUAUACUGCUCUGUACCAGAAGUUUGCAAAUUUCUGUACAUCGUGCUGUGCCAAAUCUGACAACUUUAAUUCUAAAAUCUUGUCAUGUUUUACUUGUAUUAAAAGUUAUCUAUCUUAUCUUUAGUUGAAUAUUUUCUUUUGGAGAGACUGUACAUUUUAAAAUACUGUUUAAAGCGUAGAGCAUAUAUUACAUUUAAAAAAAGAUGUAGCUUUUGUAAUAUCACAGUAAUUCCUUCACUUCUUAAAAAGUGUAAUAAAUGCUUAGUUGUGAUAUGUUCA